CACAUGCUUAAGUGCUUUCUUGGACUGGGGCCAAAAUGCUAAUGUGAUGGAGAUUCCCUUUCUCAAGUAACUGCAGUGUUCAGGACUUCAUGUGGACCCCUGGGCCUGCAGGAUUACUGAAAUACACCCAUGACUGGUGAAUAUUGGAUGGUUUGGUUCUUAAACUUUUCAUUUUCAGCAAAACCUUCAUGCAGUGUUGCUAUAUUAUGAGUUUUAUACUUUGCAUAAAAAGAAUAGUUCUUUACUAGGCUGGUGACAGACUUGAAAAGAAACCCUAUUGCUGACCUUAAAUUGAUUUUCUUAUGAGGACAUUUUAUGUUUUCUGUUUGAGGAAAAAACAAGGAUUCCUUCAGCACCUUUUGCUUUGACCCCACUGCCUUAUCUUUAAACUGUUCCUACAACACUUUUGGAAGAAAAUCAGCCUUUGAUGGGCACCACUAAGAUGUUGAAUUCCAACUGCUGGCAGUCCGAUGUAGUCUGCUUUGAUGACAGCAGUGGUAACAAGCCCAAAGCACACGUGUGUGGGAUGUGACAGCGGUGUGCACCUGUCUCGGGCAGGGGGCACCGGGUCUUCCCCGUGGCAGCCUCCUCGGUGGCUGUGCUAAUCACCGGCAGUGACACGGGAGUGACACUCGCCGCGCCCGGCUCACAGGAGCGAGCAGGGCGUUGGGGCUCUAAGUACACAGCUGCUUCUCAAAUUAUGAUGCACAGGGUCAGAGGUCACUGCAGAAAAAGCAGAUAAAAUUAUGCUUCCUACUGCCACCAUGCCACAUCAAAAUGGUAAAUUGUUUGUUUUAUAGUGGGUCUGUCAAGCUGUUCUGCUGUAGCAGACACGUGAAUUUCUCAGCUCGCUUGUAGCACUUUAACAAUAAAGGGGUUUGUUUUCUAAAUAUUGUGCUAGAGAUUUCUUUCUGUUAAUUGUUGUUCUUUGACUGCUGCUAUAAAAUAGAAGUUUUUAGACAUUUUUAAAGUGUUUCCCCGGUGGUGAGGCUUGGCAGCAGGAUGAGGAUGUGGGGCCAGCAGUGCUGCAGGAUUUGUCUGCUCUGGCUGUGCUGUGUGUGGGCACGGCAGCCUGUGGGCUCCCCUUGGAUACCUGGGAUAUGGGAUAAGCUGUGGGCAGAUGGCUGUGCACAGGAUGAACCAUCUAGGUUAAUGACCUGGGCAAUGCUGUCUGCCUUUCUGUUCGUGGCUGCUGCUUCUGUUCCUGCUUCAGAAACAGGGCAGAUCUUUACCCUGUGUGCAGCACCCGCUCACUUUUCUCAGAGUCUCUCGACACCUCUCUGCUGUCCUUUCCACUUGAAUUUGUAUUGAACAAGGGAUGCUGCUUACAAGAAACUUGUGGAACUAAGAGUGAGAACCAGGCUGGAAAAACCAUAAGAGUUCAAAUAUGUAGGGUAUGUGAUGCUUUCUCCAGCUUUGACUUUUUUUGAGUUUCUUUUUAUUGUGAAGGGCUUGUUAAUUUUUUGUUAAAUUCUUCGACCAUAACUGUGACCAAAGAGAGGAAUGCAUUUGACAAGUGCAAUAAAGCAACUGUUCCGUGUUUAUGGCAAGUGCUAUACUUUUAUGCUAUUAAUUCAAAUUGCCUGGAUUUUUAUAAAACUGGGACAGUAUAGGGUUACCUACCUUGCUAGAACAGUUGAAAUGGAUCACACUACAAAGUAGUCCACAUCUCCCUAUCAAAUUUUAGAGAAAAUAAUCUUGGAGUCAUAAGGGAGGCGUAUGUCUCUGGACCACAGCUUUUAGAUGCAUUUUUGUAACCAGCAAAUGUUGGGAGUCCCAAAAAGAAAUAACAAGAAAAUGCCAUUAAGUAAAAUAGAAAGUUCAGUGCAAAAAGUUGCACUGUAUGUGAGGUAGUGACACUUAGGAGGACACAGGUAACUUCAGAAAUGUGUUUUGCUACACUACUGUAUCUAAGUAGAGAAGGUGACUGCUGUACUCAGUCCUCUUCCAAGAGGAAAAGUGGUGGGAAGUGUACAUGGGAAUGAUUUUCUUGAGCAGACUUCUGCUGAAAACCAGAGGCGUGCAAAUAAUUGGUUAUUUUUCUUCAGUUUGAUGGUUGUACAGACAAGGAAAAAUCCUUUGGGACCAGAGAAGUCUUUAGAGAAUGAAGAAAGCAGAAUGUGUUCCAAGACCAAUACACUGCUUCAAUUCCAGUGACUUGGACAUGAGUAACCAUUGGGAGUCGUCCUGUUUCCAUUCUGAAAAGCUGCAGUUGCACAAUGGCAGCUGAAAAGCUGCAGAAGCUCAGAGUGGUGUGUGCAGCUGCUCAGCCCUCUGGGCACAGCCUGCCCCUCUUUCUGCAUCAGGCACACAUAAACUGGGCUGUGGUUUUAGGUCCCUGCCUGAGGACUGCUGACCCUGUCCUACCUGCAAUGUUCCUGAUGUUGGGAAAACGUCAGUCCCCCUUAACUUUCUCAUCAGCACAUCAGCUCCUGUCUUUGUGCCCAUGGAUCCCAAGUUCCUUGUGAAGGAGAGCACUCAGCCUAUGCAAGGUGGUCCUGCACUUCUGAAUUCAUGGCACAGUGAAUGAUGUUUUGGAAGGCAAAGCCUCAGGACUGCUGCACAAAGUUAACAUCAAGUGCUGUCUUGGAAUCCCGGAUCUUUCCUUGGAAUCCUGAAUCUUUCCAGUGAAGCAGAUAGGAAUUCUGAAAGGUUCUGCAGUGUCUGAGAGAUCUUCAACACAGCUUUAAACUUUUGUGACUAUUUAAUGGGAGACAAAUCUUUCCUUGUUUUCUUUUUUUUCCCCCACUUCAUAAUAGCAUUAAACUCAUUUUCUGCAAACCUGCUUUCAACGGUCUAGCUAAUUUAUACUGGAAGUAAUUGGACACACCUAGUGAAAAGCAGAGUGGAAUUUUGCUGUUGAACUGCAAUGUUCUCUUCAAGUCACUGGUCUCUUCCAUUUGAUAAUUGUCAUAACAGCAAUUAAGUAACCUGACUGCUCCUCUUUCCUGCCAGUGAUGAAAACUUAAAAUGAGUCUUCAAAACUGUCACUCUUCUCUAAAGUUUCCUUAAAGAAAUGGCAUUUACUCCUCUCUUAAUAUCUUGCUAUCUAACAUUAGCUUGCUGUUCAGCCUUCAGAGAGCUCUUACUGCAAUAGUCAACCAGGUUAGGGCUUUAGAUACUCUUGGGCUACUGCUUAUCUUGAGGAGUCCAAGGGGAUCAUGGUGAUGCUGUUUGCGACCUCAAUCUCUUGUUGUGUAGAGACCACGUUCAUUUACUCUCAAAUCCAUUAUAAAUUCAUGUUACAUGCUUACUCACUCAUUCCAUAGUGGGAUGCUGCUCCAUACCCAGAGCUGUGAUGUUUCUGGGCAAGAGCAGCAUUUGUGCUGCUGUUGUGGUUGCAGUUUUUCCUGGUGUGCCCUUGGCAUGACAGGUGCUGUAUGGACAGGGGGUUGAAUUGUUCCCUCAGCUCUUGUGUGGGAUUAACCAGGCACUGCCUUUCUUGUGCUUUGUGGGAUUCUCAAUCUCGUAGCCUUCUUCAGCCUUCAGAGAGGCUGUGGGGGUAUGUACAGAAGAGCUGUAUGUCAGCGAGCUGUAAAUUGCUGCCAUCUGCCAGCUCAUGUAGGGGGCUCCCACCUGGUCUGGUGUGUGCUGGGAUCUAUGCUCUAGCUCCAAAUCCUGGCUCCUAGGAUUUGCCUUUGACCGGACCUGUUCUCAAACACUUGAAGGAGGUGGAUGCCUGGUCUCAUCUCUUCAUAAACAAACCAACCUCAUCUGUAGGUGCAUGCAAAAAACCCUCAAAAGACCCAAACCCAAACAAAACCAACAACCAAAUAACCCAAUCCCAAGCCCACAAAAAGCCCCCCAAGCAAUCAAACAAAAACCAAAAAAGCUAUGUGGAUUUAAGGUUUUUUAGCAGUCACUCUCUAGCCUAAAUUCUAUGGGACUUCUUUAUGUUACAGAUUCCUGUCCCAGAGGGGUUUUUAGCAGUCAAGAGGGUUGGAAGGUAUUUGAGCUGCUACAGUAUAUCAUGUUCUCAGCAAGAGCUUCUGCUCUCUGUUCAGUCCAGAGAGGUUCUUAGCCCAUCUCUGUGAGCAUAACUGUAAUGCUACGAAUUAUUCCUUGUGGAAACUUUAGCUAUUGUGCUUAGUGGGUUUACAGGAGCUUUUUCAGUCUGCUUUUAGUGUAUUUGUGUUGGUGGGGAUUCUGAGUGGAAUUACAUGCCCAGGCUUUCAGAUAACUGCUGUAAAUACACAGAUCCACUCUAGUCCCUUACUUCACUGUAGCAGCUGCUGCGGUGUUGCAGAAACUUCAUAGCUUUGACUGCAUCUUAUUAGUUCAGCACACUAUUAAUAUCCCAGAAGCUUUUUGUAUUAGUUUCCACACUUAAUAUUGGUUCUCCUUCUUUCUUCCCUGCCCCCCUUCACACUCAGUCAUUAAACUAAAUUCAUCUUGGGGCUUUUUCAUUUAAGAUGCCCUUGCUGCCCACACCAAAGAGGGGAACCAGACUGGAAGAAAACCAAUUGUGCUAACAGUCACCUGGUAUAUUUAGUGGCAAUGUCAUCUAACAUGCAUUUAUGCUCAGAAGUAGUGCCUUUCUGCUUCUAUAUGGAGCAUUUGUAGUGUUGGCAAAAUCUUUCCAGAGAAACAGCUGCUGAUUGGCUCUUCUUGUCUAUUUGGGGAAGGAUCUGUCCUUAAAUACUUAGUUAUUCUGCUUUCUAAAAAUGGCAUCAAGCACUUGGCACUAUCAGGAUUGGACUCAAAACUUUUACUGAGAUGAACUGGGUGCAUUGCACCAAGACCUGGUGAAUCCUUGUCUCCCCUAGAGGAAUGAUUGCACAAGUACCAGCAAGUGGGUGCAGGUACAUCUAGGGCAAGUCAGUGCCUGGGGCUCUAAAAUGCCAAUUGCAGUCUUCCUCUGGAAGGCUUUAAAACCAAAUGUCACAUUAUUACGGUUAAAUGGCUCUGGUGAAAAGGGCACAGCUGAGCUGCAUUUCAGCUAAUAUUUCUUCUGAAUGUAAAGAAAUCCUGUCCCAAAUGGCAGCAAUGCCUCUCCUUUGAGGUGUUGUGUCUCAGUAAGGUGGAGAACUCAGGCUGUCGUCUGAGUAAGGACUGGGAGCCAACUUGCCUUUGCCAGUCUGUGCUGACCAGAGACAGGGCAAGGAGAAAGGCUCUGCCAGCAUUUGGCACAACUGCCCCAGCCUCCAAAUGCAUAAACCAUCUGACUGACACCUAACUCUGACUGAGGAGAAGGCUCUAGGGUGAGCAGCUCACCAGGAAUAAAAGUGUUUUACCCUUUUGGUAGAGCAUAGGUGCUUCCCACUGUUCCUCAGAGCUUACAAGGUCAGGAAAACUUGACAUCCAGAGAGCUGGUAGGGUACCAUGGGAAGGUUUUUACUCCAGAGCCCAGGGGCUUUGGUCACCUCUGAGCUCUUGCUGUGACACCUCACCCAAGGGAGAACAGUGGGUGAAUCAUGCAAUACUCCUUUGAAACAGAGGCUAGCUUAGGACAGCUUGAGGGUCUAGGACACUGAAAUAUCUUCCUGUCCAGAAUAGUUUGAAUUAGUUGAUCUGCAUGGCAUGCUGCCAGGCUUCAAGGAGAACUAGGGAGGCCUGGCUACUGGUCAGCAGGCUGGACUGGGUGGUAGGAAGUUAUUAAUAGCUGCUCUUCCAUGGAAAGAAUGAGUUUGGCUGAGAUGUGAUGUAAAGCUGCUAACUGGUACAGCAAGCAAAUGCUGAAAGUCUUGUCCAUUAUCACUUGAAUGAGCUGUUAUGCCUUAUGGAGGACCUUGAGCCUCAUGGUCUCAGCUCUCCUGGCACUGGCCUCUGAAUCUGAGCUGUGUGGUUGGGCAGCACAGGUGCAGGUCUGAAGAAAAGAAGCUGUCAGCUCUUGGUCAGCCUCAGGGAGUGGUCGGUGUAUCUUCUCUUCCUCAGCAAGUUUAGGUUCCCUCAAGGUCCCUCAUGAUGCAGUUGUCACCUGUAAGAGUCAACUCUUUGUUUCUGAAACAACUUAAUUUAAGGACAGAGAAGUAAGAAAGAUGCUUUUCUGCACACUAGAAGUUUUGGAAAGAAAUAUUAUCUCAAAACCUCAGACAAGACCAGUUUGGAAAAAAGGUGGAGACUGGGCAAAAUAAAUGAAUAAAAAUUCUCUUGAGUGGAAUGGCAGUGAGGAAUUUCUUAUGGGGGAUUUAGCUGGAUCAAAGGUUACAGUAAAGCACAAGUAAUAGAUUUGCUUUAACUAUACCAGCUGGUCCUCUCCUUUUAAAGACUUGUGGCAGAAUGGCUUUAAUGAUGUUAUUGAGGGCAUCUGUUGGACUUGUUCUUGAGCACUUGAUUAGAGGUAGUAAUUUUUAAGGGGAAGGCUAGGAAAAUCAAGUGGUGUUGCAUUCAGUGUGAAGCUUGUAUUUCCUUUUGUAUUCUUCAGUUCCCUUCAGGAACUUUUCAGUUGCCUUGCAGGAAACUAAUACAAGGCUCUGGGUUAAUACACAGAGGUCUCCAAGCCAAGCCCAGUUUCAUCCCUUGGAACAACUGGUGCUUCUUAAGGGAGAUGCUAGCUCCCAGAAUAUCUACGUGGAUCAAGUUUGUCAUCUCCCUCAUCCUAAAGCUCACACAUCUGAUUGUCCUGCUUAGAAAGAGGGAGGAUGAACAAGAGUCAAUGGAAUAUCCAUUUCUCAUUAAAAAUAGUUCUUCUCCUAGCUAUUGUAGGGAAACUUUAUUUCCUUGGUGGCUUGUUGCUGAUCUCUGCUCUUGUCUGUUGGAUUUCCACCCUGGAAAACAGGUGUAGAGAUGCUAUAAGUAACUAGAAGUCUGAUGCAUGCAGUGAGUUCCUUGAAGACUCUAAAUUACAGUUUUCCUUCCUGUGCUACAACCUCAGGUCCCUGACCUGCAACUGCAGCAUAUUUUCUGUGACUAACAGCUGUAAUUCCCUAAUUAUCAUGCUCUGUUCUCCUGCUGUGCUGUAGAUUUUGUUACCAAGGAAGCAAACCAAGUUUCCUCGUUCCUACUCUUGCUCUGUAUGCUCCCAACUGUUUUAAAUCCACCAUUUGAUGCAGCCCAUAAAGACAAAUGACUAUCUCUUGUUUCAAAUACUCAAAGUUUCCAGAACAUGUUACGUAGCUGCACGCUGGGGACAAAGAAGGAAAAUUAAG